AUUGAACGCUGGCGGCAGGCUUAACACAUGCAAGUCGAGCGGAGAGAGGUAGCUUGCUACUGAUCUUAGCGGCGGACGGGUGAGUAAUGCUUAGGAAUCUGCCUAUUAGUGGGGGACAACAUUUCGAAAGGAAUGCUAAUACCGCAUACGUCCUACGGGAGAAAGCAGGGGAUCUUCGGACCUUGCGCUAAUAGAUGAGCCUAAGUCGGAUUAGCUAGUUGGUGGGGUAAAGGCCUACCAAGGCGACGAUCUGUAGCGGGUCCGAGAGGAUGAUCCGCCACACUGGGACUGAGACUCGGGCCAGACCCCUACGGGAGGCAGCAGUGGGGGAUAUUGGACAAUGGGCGGAAGCCUGAUCCAGCCAUGCCGCGUGUGUGAAGAAGGCCUUAUGGUUGUAAAGCACUUUAAGCGAGGAGGAGGCUACUUUAGUUAAUACCUAGAGAUAGUGGACGUUACUCGCAGAAUAAGCACCGGCUAACUCUGUGCCAGCCGCCGCAGUAAUAC
rnacentral:rRNA from 1 species